CCUACGGGAGGCAGCAGUGAGGAAUAUUGGUCAAUGGGCGCGAGCCUGAAGCAGCCAAGUAGCGUGAAGGAUGACUGCCCUACGGGUUGUAAACUUCUUUUAUAAAGGAAUAAAGUGAGGAAAGGGUGCCUUUUUGGAUGGACUUUAUGAAUAAGGAUCGGCUAACUCCGUGCCAGCAGCCGCGGUAAUACGGAGGAUCCGAGCUUUAUCCGGAUUUAUUGGGUUUAAAGGGAGCGUAGAUGGGUUGUUAAGUCAGUUGUGAAAGUUUGCGGCUCAACCGUAAAAUUGCAAUUGAUACUGGCAGUCUUGAGUACAGUGGAGGUAGGCGGAAUUCGUGGUGUAGCGGUGAAAUGCUUAGAUAUCACGAAGAACUCCGAUUGCGAAGGCAGCUUACUAAACUGCCACUGACAUUGAUGCUCGAAAGUGUGGGUAUCAAACAGGAUUAGAUACCCUAGUAGUC
rnacentral:rRNA from 1 species